rnacentral:snRNA from 1 species
AUGCUUGCUUGGGCAGCACAUACACUAAAAUUGGAAUGAUACAGAGAAGAUUAGCAUGGCUCCUGUGCAAGGAUGACAUAGAAAUUGUGAAGCAUUCCAUAUUUUU